GUUCACCGGCAAAUGAUUCCGAUUCCGGCGCACCAAACGAUCCGGGAGACGAGAUUUUGCCAGUGAAGAUGAUGACGAAUGGCCGGUUCGUGUGGUUGUUGCCCCCCCGCCACCCGAACCGAACUCCCAUUCCUGCCAGGUGCUACGUGGGCUACCGAGAUACGCAGGCAAAUAAAGCACGAUGGAACAGAAGCAAAUUCAAUUGCUUUUGCUUGUUUCGGUGAAACAACAGUCAAUGAACGUUCGAUGAUGAGCGAUUAUUCGUGUUUGCAGCACUUGUAAAGGUUGUAUGCAGGGGGUGAACAAGUAUUUCAAAAGCAGGAUUUUGAAAUUAGUUACAAAACGAGUUUGAUAGCAGUUGGUAGCUGGUGCAUCGUGCGAACAAGCGUUCGUAGUAAGUCACAUAUUGUUAAUACUACCCCCUGCAGCUAGUAAACGACAGUAGGAGAAGGGGGAAAAACAUACACAAGACAGAACAAAGUAAAAACCUAGCAAGUGAGAGGAAUAUUGAACAAAGUUUAUUUAUAGCCUAGAUCAUGUUGAUCGCUCGUGUUCUUGAGAAUUUAUCGAAGGAUGUUGACUAAACCCCAGGACCUUCUUUACCCUUAGUUUCGACGUAGGAACGAUGGCGUAGUUGUUUAAGAGCUGUACUAACUAGAGAGAUAUCCAUAUUGUACCAAGUAGAUGGGUUGGCAAAGGGUAAACCAAUGGGGAGGGUAAGGCUACUAGUGAUGGUACAAAACAGAGGGGAACGAUUCUCUUGAGCUGGGCCCAUAGAGCAGGACCAGGCUCGACUUGUAUGUUGAGGUUGUAGUUCCAAGCAACUAAGAUGUUAAAGAAAGACAAAAGGUGUACAGUAAGCCGAAAGAUGGACGUCACGUGUUAAGCCAGUAAGGGAAAGACGAGUGAGGGAACGGUACAAAGAAAGGAAACGAACACGAAUUAAAAGAAUUUUUAACAAAUGUUAGGGUAAUAAUGGUUUAAAGCUCACAUAGAUGUCAGUAAAACAAACAAAAAAAAUACAGCAAAACAUAGUGAUUUCAAAAAUCGA